rnacentral:rRNA from 1 species
UACGAGAGGCCCAAACGUUAUUCGGAAUUACUGGGCUUAAAGAGUUCGUAGGCGGCGCAGAAAGUAGGGUGUGAAAGCCCUCGGCUUAACCGAGGAAUUGCGCUCUAAACUACUGUGCUUGAGGAAGCUAGAGGUGAGCGGAACUGAUGGUGGAGCGGUGAAAUGCGUUGAUAUCAUCAGGAACACCGGAGGCGAAGGCGGCUCACUGGCCCGAUACUGACGCUGAGGCACGAAAGCGUGGGGAGCAAACAGGG